UACGAAGGGGGCGAGCGUUGUUCGGAAUUACUGGGCGUAAAGGGCGCGUAGGCGGCCCCUUUUGUCGCGUGUGAAAGCCCCGGGCUCAACCUGGGAGGUGCGCGCGAAACGGGGGGGCUUGAGUUCGGGAGAGGAGAGUGGAAUUCCCGGUGUAGCGGUGAAAUGCGCAGAUAUCGGGAAGAACACCCGUGGCUAAGGCGGCUCUCUAGUACGGUACUGACGCUGAGACGCGAAAGCGUGGGGAGCGAACAGG
rnacentral:rRNA from 1 species